rnacentral:rRNA from 1 species
CCUACGGGGGGCUGCAGUGGGGAAUAUUGGACAAUGGGCGAAAGCCUGAUCCAGCCAUGCCGCGUGUGUGAAGAAGGCCUUCGGGUUGUAAAGCACUUUCAGUGGGGAAGAAAGCCUUGGGGCUAAUACCCUCGAGGAAGGACAUCACCCACAGAAGAAGCACCGGCUAACUCCGUGCCAGCAGCCGCGGUAAUACGGAGGGUGCGAGCGUUAAUCGGAAUUACUGGGCGUAAAGCGCGCGUAGGCGGUCUGAUAAGCCGGUUGUGAAAGCCCCGGGCUGAACCUGGGAACGGCAUCCGGAACUGUCAGGCUAGAGUGCAGGAGAGGAGGGUAGAAUUCCCGGUGUAGCGGUGAAAUGCGUAGAGAUCGGGAGGAAUACCAGUGGCGAAGGCGGCCUUCUGGACUGACACUGACGCUGAGGUGCGAAAGCGUGGGUAGCAAACAGGAUUAGAUACCCUUGUAGUC